rnacentral:rRNA from 1 species
UACGGAAGGCAGCAGUGGGGAAUAUUGCACAAUGGGCGCAAGCCUGAUGCAGCCAUGCCGCGUGUAUGAAGAAGGCCUUCGGGUUGUAAAGUACUUUCAGCGGGGAGGAAGGCGAUGCGGUUAAUAACCGCGUCGAUUGACGUUACCCGCAGAAGAAGCACCGGCUAACUCCGUGCCAGCAGCCGCGGUAAUACGGAGGGUGCAAGCGUUAAUCGGAAUUACUGGGCGUUAAAGCGCACGCAGGCGGUCUGUUAAGUCAGAUGUGAAAUCCCCGGGCUUAACCUGGGAACUGCAUUUUGAAACUGGCAGGCUUGAGUCUUGUAGAGGGGGUAGAAUUCCAGGUGUAGCGGUGAAAUGCGUAGAGAUCUGGAGGAAUACCGGUGGCGAAGGCGGCCCCUGGGACAAAGCUGACGCUCAGGUGCGAAAGCGUGGGGAGCGAAACAGGGAUUAGGAUACCCGU